ACUCAAACUUGGGGGCACUUUCUGUUCUCUAGGCUCGAAAGUGCUGCCAUCUUUGAGUGC
rnacentral:pre_miRNA from 1 species